UAGUUUUGUGCCUAGAAGAGAAAGAAAUAAACUUAACUGGGAUUGUUUUUCGUGGUUAUGGUGAAGACUGUGUGGUAUUUUCUUUAUGUAUGUGAUGACUGGCACCUCUGGAAGUAUUCAAAACAUAUUUUCCAAAUGAAGAAAUAAAUGAAGUGGGUUCGCUAGGAUGGGGUGGGUUCUGGGAGCAAAAGGAAAAUUCUGAUCUGGGUGGAUUUAACAUGAGAGGAGGAGUGUUAUUUAGAAAAAAAAAAGAAUUAUUCCAGGAGAUGACUGGAAUUAUUGAUUUGUGUUUGUCCUCUGAUCCAGUGACUAAGUGGGUAAUGUAUUCAAACUCAACUUUCUCUACCCCCAUUUAUUUUUCUUCUUUUAGUGAAUUGUUUCUUCCCUUAUUAGACUCCUUUCUUCUUAUAUUUGUCCAUUCUCCAAAGAAUGUGCCAAAGGUUUUCCAAAUUCUGAUCCUGCUCUUUCCGGGGUGUCAUCAGUUGCCUUAAAAACACUCUGCAAGACAUUAGUGUCUCAGCAGAGCAUAAUAAACUUCAGCUUGGCUUUAGAACAAAAGCAGUGCCACACAAUGACGCAUCUUCCAUAAAAUAAGCUGUCCCCUAAACAGGGAGAAUAUAAAUGCAGCACACAUUAUCGUAGUAGCAGAUAUUCAUCUCCACCCACAAACUCAAAUGUGCCAGAAUUAUACCAUUGGCAUUUUCUCAUUUCCUUUAAAUCAACUUCAUUUUUUUUUUUCUCUCGAAGCUCCCAUCCCACCUGUCUGGGGCAGAAUUUCAUUUUAGACAUUAUUAGAGCUUGAAUCUGUCCAGAGUCUGGGUUGGAGCCCAGAACCAGGAGAAGGUCCUCUAAUCUCUCGUUUGUCCCAGUUCAUCCUGAGUUCCUGUGUUGCCCAAACCAAAGUCCAGAUGUCCUUGACUUCCCUGACAUGUAUGCGCUCAGUGCCUCAGUGGUCCAGCAUCCCAGACACUAUGUGGCCAUCCUGUGUGAGGCUUUUCCUACGUGGAGGUAUUCAGGAAGUCAAGAUUAGAAGUUAACGGUGGAUAAGAAUACAAUCAAUGAUUUUUAGUAAAGUUUGGUGUCACUCUCUUGAUUACUGCUAAGGAACUGUCGGUUUUACACAAAUUGCUUUGGCAACAUCAGUGCAAAUGUCAACAUAGUGACAAUCUAGGGGCAGACCUCAGUGAUAUUAAUGUUGCUGAGGGAUACUUUUAAGGAAACAAAUUCCAUGACACCUAAGAAUCUAAGUUCACACCAAUGAUGAGGAGUCUGAAAAUAAGCUAUAUGAUGUUAAAGCAGAGAAACCCAAAGUUGAUUAGGACGGGGUAAGCUCAAGCCCAACAAACAACAACAAACCUUAAGAAACUUUAACCCAACAUCUAAACCUGGAUUCAAUUCUCCCACUUGCUUUUCUGCUCUAUUUUUUAUCCAUCUGCCGUAAGAACUAUAAUUAUGUAGUUAUAUCAUAUUAUUGUCACCUAAUCUAAUUAGAGUGGUCAAUCUAAACACAAAAGUAGCAGGAAUAGACUUCUUAAGUUAAGACAUGACUUUCUUUGUGCACAAAACAAAUAUGGCCAUUCCGCAAAGAAUUAAGCUUGAAUUUCUUGAGGAUGCUGUACUUUAAUAGUUACCAAAUAUUGUGUAAAAGUCCCACUAAGAAAUUAGAUUUUACACCCUGGGUCGCUGGGAAAUAGGAAUAAUAACAACAAUACUUUCUGUGUGUAGCAAAGCAACUAUAUGUCAGCCAGUUAGAUUAUCAUCCCAGCCCAGAAUAAUAGGGAUAGAAUAGCUUAUUAUUAAUCCCAUUAUGUAGAAGGGAACACUGAGAAAUUAUGUGAUUUGCCCAUGGUCAUAUAUUAUUAAGUGGAAGAAAUGGGACCAUAACUCAGGCUAUUGUCUAAAAAGCCUUUAAUCCUUUCUGUUCUCUGUUUACGUACAUUUUGAUUCUGUUAAAUUAUAUUGUUUUUAUUUUCCCAUUAGCUCAAGGACAACAUCUUAGUAGAACAUCUGGAUUUAAUAUUCUUUCCACAAACUCUUCAGAGUCUAUUCAUUUGAAUGAAGGGCUUUUGUCAACAGUUAACCCUUCAGACUGCCUGUCAGACAAACAAAAAAGCAAGACCGACUGUACAGAUUUAAAAUACAUUUUAUAGUAGUCAGGGAAUUGAAUUUACUUUCUAAUUCUGUGGAAUGAAUUAUUUAUAGUCAAGAUAGACUGCUAGAUCAAACUUAUCUGUCUUUAAGCACCAGACAUUUCCAGAAUCCAGAAGAAGGGGUCAGUCACUGAGAUAGUUGGUUUAUGUCGUAAUCCUGACCAGGCAUCAUUAGAAUGGAGAAGAUUUAGGAAGCCUGGGAUUCCAACAUAUUUGCAGGACCAGGCAAAGACCUGGAGUCUGAGCAUAGUAAGUAGGCCAAGGGAAUAUCAUUCUUCUGAUGAGAGGGAGGGCAGAGGACAACACAGGAAUUCUAAGAUAGGUCUACAAUACAGGCCCUGCUCACAGGGGAUGGGACAGCAAGAUGUGUGGCACAAUAGGAAAAGGGCUCAAGACAGAGAUCUUGGCUUGAAGUUACAUUCUAUUAUACGACAUAGCCAGUAGGUGUUUGAACCAAAAUUACAAUGUAAGCAAUCCAGCUCCAGAGUCCCGAGGCACUUAAGGUGUCUUUGGUAAGGACAUUUAGAGAAGCACCGAUUGAGUCCUACAGGGGAAUAGAAGGAGGGAGAGAGGCAGACAGAUACCACUCUGACCAAAGGGAAUAAGAAAAGCUUCAGAGAAUAAGGAAGGCUUCACAAAGAGGUGCAUUUGAACAGGCUUCGAUAUUGGGGAAAAUUCUGAUAGCCAGGAAAUAGAAUGUGAGUGAUGGAAAAACCCACCUAAGAUGGCUUAGGCAGAACAAAAGUGUUCUGACGUACGUGUCUGAAAAAUCUAGUCAUAGUUCUGGCUUUCAGCUCAGCUUGAUCAGGGCUCCUGUUGGCAUUGUAGGGGAGGAAAAGAAAAUUUUUCUCUGUUACUUUCCUGCCUCCUAUGUUCUCUGGCUGGAGCCCUACAAAUUAGACUGACAAAAAGCAGAUUAACAAGAAAAAAAAACAAAAACAAAAACCAAUUAACAUGUGCAGCAUGCAUGUACAUAGGAGAAACUCCGUGACAAGUAACUCAAAGUGGUGGUUAGAACUUGGGGCUUAUAUAGCAUCUUAACAAGGAAGAAUAAAUGUGUACAGAAGUGAUAAGAGAAAGGACAGGGUUUUAGGCUUCGAGGGCAGCCAACGGUGGGAAGGUAAAUCUAUGGGGAAAAUUAACAGAGGAAGAUUUGUUCGUGCUGGUUCAUCUUGGUGCCAACUUCCCAUCUACCUCAUUGCCAUAAAACUUCCCCAGGAGAGGACAGUCCUCAUUUCUCAGAAGUUUCUGCUUUUAGUCCGAUGAUGGGUGUUCCAAGAAGGCUUCUUUCUGCAUCUGUUGAUUCUCAUUUUCCUCCAACUCAAAAUGAUCCCUUUACCAAAGUGACGUAUUUCGGGAUGGAGUGUUUGGAUUUCCUGCAGCACCUUCAGGACCUGGUUUCUCUAAGCUCUGUCUCCGGGACUGUAUUUGUAACUACUGGCCCGGACUUUCUUCUGUGUGAAGGAGCUUACGUUUGAUCCUGAGCAGAGACGUUUUUGUGUGGAGAUAAUACAUCAGUUGCCUGUGUGUUGGCAUGUCUGCAUUUAGGCGUCGGAAUUUCCCCUCAUACUUGCUCUAGCAUCAUGCUACUUUAGCCUAUACGACUGUGUGGGUACAUGGGGACUGAAUCUGUAUGACCAGGAAUCAGUCUACAAAUGGCUCACCAAUGGAGAAUGACUUCAGAGUUCCUAUCCCCCAAGAGGAAGCAUAUGUACAGCCAUUCAGUGGGAAACCAAAGGACAUGUGGCUGAAUUGUGGAGGUCUUCGAGUAGGAAGGCAGACCAAGUAAUCAACACUUGGGAUAAAUUUGCAGUUAAAGCAAAAGAGCCAAUUGUUUGAGAUUUGAGUUUCAGGGGUUGAAGUUAGGCUUUGUGAAUUUAGAUUUGUUGAGUUAAAACCAAACAAAAUAAAACAAAACAACCUGUUUUGUAUGGCCAGAUUCUACAACUAGUUUCUCCGUGCUCAUUUUGCACACAAUGAUUCCUAAUAAAAGCCGAUUAGUCCGCCCUAAAGAGUCUUGACGGCCCUAAUUGUUUUUUUCUCCAGAAGAGCAGUUUCUGUCACAUUUACGGAGAGGAGCACCAAUCUACCAAAAUGUUCUCAUUCCACAAACAAGGAGCCACUUAAAUGCCCAAGGACUCUACCAAGUGCCAAUGCAAACCAAGGAGGAAGAAAUGACUGGUCACUAUGGAACCACAGUGACGAGUGACUUGGAGGCUUCCUUCAGAAUUUCAGCACUUGCUUCCCUUCUUCCUAUAAUAGAAGUCUGUCAUCUGACAGAUGAUGAAUUCCUUUUAACAAUAACCAGAGUCCAGUGCCCAGCUCCUGAGCAGUUUUCUCCCUCAUCUAAUGGUUAGAAUUGGAAUUUAUUUGUCAUCCUGGCUGUUUCAGGAUCUCUGCCACUGCUGUGUCCACAGAGUUCCAGGGAGGUUGAUGGCUGAGGGGGCUGUUUCGAGACUCGUGAAACCCGAAUUUCCAGAACUGAUUCCCAGUUCGACCACUUACCGUCUCUGUAAGCGUGGCAAGUACUGUGCUUCUCCAAACCUCAGUUUACCCAAAUAUAAAAUGGACAUCACAAGAUACCCAAUUUAUAGAGUAUCGUGUGAGAGUUAUUAAAUACUACGGUGUGGAUAAUAAUAUGCCACCCAAAGUACGGCAUUUUGGCAGAAGGGUUAUUUUGAACUAAAGGAAUUGAGAAAUCAUAGACGCAGAACAAAGCUUUCUACCUUCGCCCUGCCUUGCCUCAAAGCAGAGCGUGAAUUUCCCUUUGCGCUGGCCUCCCCCCUGCUCCUCGCUCUAAUACCAGGAAGGGCAGAAUGACAAUCAUCGGAGACAACUCAAGACUCUUAUCAGCCUAGAGAUGGCACUGAGAGAAAUCUGCAUUUUAAACCUGCCUCAAAUGAACAACCCUUAUCUUCCCUUAGUUUCCCACAUAUAUUUAACUUCCCACAAGCUCAGAAGCUCAGAUUCUUUUUCUUUUGUCGCAUCCCGUCUCCGCAUUUAUCACUCUUCGUUAAAAUGCGCAGCUCUGUGGCUUGGUUCUAUUAGCCAGACCGAAUGGAGUGUUUUUGAAACAGCAGUGAAAUCUCUUGGAACAAAAUGAGAUCGCUCCUGCAACCAUUCUGCCCCAAAGCAUAUUUAUAAGCAAUGGCAAGGAAAGGAGAAGGAGGAAGACACCGCCAUAAGGGGCUUGCUGGCAAAACACGGGUUAUACGCCAGGUGCCUUGCCUGAAACUUGAAGACUGGGGCGAGAUUGUUCCAAACAAAAGUAGCGAAGUUCAGAGCCAGAGAAUUCUCUGGACACAAAGGCUUUGCAAUAGAGAACUGUAUAAUGCGGCCGGCAGGUCAGCUGCAAACCGAUGCCCCUGCCCCGCAGCCCAGGGUAACUAGAUUCCUUACCGUCCUUGGGGACAGAGAUGCCCACAGCACUAACUUCAGCCAGGAAACAGAAACCAGCAAGCUGCAAGGGUCGGGAGCACCGUCUCCUUGAGAGAUUAGCCAAGCACCAGUUGGUUUGCAUAAGGCAUGGAGAGCUGCCUGGGAGGACUUUGUCCUCAAGAUCCUUCUGCAUCCAAGAGCACAGGAGCUAAGAUCAUCCCCUGAUCCAACUGGCAUGAGUUCAAUCAAGGCCGACUCGUCGUAAGAGGAGGCUGCCAAAACAGAGCUGCCUUAGCCCAGGGUCCACGGAGGACAAGCACUGGCAUCAGCAGACCUGGCACCUCUGGGGGCCGUGUUGGCAGACAAAGCCCUCAACCCCUCUGCCAAGGCACCGACACUGAUGGACAGUAACAGCAGUACCUUCAGCAGCUCCUUGUGGCAUCUUUGGUCAGUAUCAGUGGGUGAGUCGCUAAAUCGGGCAGUGGCAGUGACCAGAGAUAACGCCUCAAAGAGCCACAAAAGAGAAAAGGAGAAUGGUAACUGUCACAUCACAACUAAAGACCACUGCUGUACAUGAAUGACAUACCCUCAGGGACACUGAGAAC